AGAGUUUGAUCCUGGCUCAGGAUAAACGCUGGCGGCGUGCCUAACACAUGCAAGUCGAACGCGCUUGAGAGAUCGAGCGAGUGGCGGACGGGUGAGGAACACGUGGGUUAUCUACCUUGAGGUGAGGAAUACCGGCGAGAAAUCGCCGACAAUACCGCAUAGGUUUCGCAAGAAACAAAGUCUCUUCGGAGACGCCGCAA
rnacentral:rRNA from 1 species